CCCCUCUCAGGAUCGCUCCUGGAGAGUCUCCAGUUCUCUACCAGUCUCAACUAUGGGAGGAAUAGUCAGGCAGAGGCAUAUCCAUUCCAUUCCUACCUUGCCCAGGGGCUGGCAAGUGGAAGACAAUCUGCUACAAGU